GCCAACCAACCACCGCCUGACCCUCCCCCCAAUAAACCACUAAAAUUUAACUAAAACAUUCGCCACGCCUAGUAUAGGAGAUAGACCCGCCACAUCAGCGCAUUAGCAAAAAGUACCGCAAGGGAAACAUGAAAGACCGCCCAACAAUUAAAGCAAAAAACAGCAGGCAUAACCCACCGUACCUCUUGCAUCAUGGUUUAGCCAGUACACAACAGAUAAAGAGCACUACAACCUGCCACCCCGAACCCAGACGAGCUACCCUAGAGCAAUUAACAGAAUGAACCCAUCUCUGUAGCAAAAGAGUGGGACGACUUCAGGGUAGAGGUGAAACGCCUACCGAGCCUGGUGAUAGCUGGUUACUCACCUAAACGAAUCUUAGUUCUACUCUAGCCACCCUACCCACGCACUAAUUAAUGCAACACGUAACAACUAGAAGAUAUGCUAUAGGGGUACAGCCCUAUUGCACCUGGCUACAACCAGACCUAGAGAGCCCCCAACCACACAAGACCAGUAGGCCUUAAAGCAGCCAACACAAAACAUGGCGUCAAAGCAACCACAACAAAAACACCAUAAAAACUCAACCCCUCCUAGCAAUACAACUGAGUUAAUCUGCCACCCAUCAGAAGAUACACUGCUAAAACUAGUAACUCGCGCUCCCCCACUUUACGCAUGACUUUAACAAACACAUUAACAGACCAAUAACACCCCACCCAGACCGCUUAUACCACCAACUGUUAACCCAACACAGGCAUGCACUCCACCUAAACCAUUUCACAGUCCUAAAAGGAACUCGGCUAACAAUAUCCCACCUGUUUACCAAAAACAUCGCCUUUAGCUCUCCCAGUAUUAAAGGUCCCGCCUGCCCAGUGAAAUCUUUUUUUAACGGCCGCGGUACCCUAACCGUGCGAAGGUAGCAUAAUCACUUGCCCCCUAAAUAAGGGCCUGUAUGAACGGCUAACUGAGGAUAUACCUGUCUCUUAGGAUAAAAUAAUGAACCUGAUCACCUAGUACAAAAGCUAGACUAACCACAUAAGACGAGAAGACCCUGCGGAGCUUUUAACCGCUGCCACUAAAAGUCUCAAACCAAAAGACUAACUCAGUGACAACUUUAAGUUGGGGCAACUAUGGAGCACAAAAAAACCUCCACGCACCGACUAACCCUCCACUAGGCAAACAAGCCAAAAUCCUCACUCAGACCCAGCACAGCUGAUCACCGAAACAAGUUACCCCAGGGAUAACAGCGCUAUCCUCUUUAAGAGCCCCUAUCGCCAAGAGGGCUUACGACCUCGAUGUUGGAUCAGGACACCCCAGUGGCGCAGCCGCUACUAAAGGUCCGUUUGUUCAACGGUUAAUGUCCUACGUGAUCUGAGUUCAGACCGGAGCAAUCCAGGUCGGUUUCUAUCUAUGACAAACAGCUCCUUCAGUACGAAAGGACCAAGAAGCAUGUGCCCAUUACCAACUAUGCACCAACAACACUCGCUGCACUAAAAUAAAGCUGAAACCACACGCGGCCCCCAGACAAGGGUACAAU
rnacentral:rRNA from 1 species